CUAAGGUAACGAUCCUACGGGAGGCAGCAGUAGGGAAUCUUCGGCAAUGGGGGCAACCCUGACCGAGCAACGCCGCGUGAGUGAAGAAGGUUUUCGGACCGUAAAGCUCUGUUGUAAGUCAAGAACGGGUGUGAGAGUGGAAAGUUCACACUGUGACGGUAGCUUACCAGAAGGGACGGCUAACUACGUGCCAGCAGCCGCGGUAAUAUCACCGA
rnacentral:rRNA from 1 species